CCUACGGGAGGCAGCAGUGGGGAAUCUUGCGCAAUGGGCGAAAGCCUGACGCAGCGACGCCGCGUGAGGGAAGAAGGCCUUCGGGUUGUAAACCUCUUUCAGGGGGGAAGAAGCCAGAGUGACGGUACCCCCAUAAGAAGGACCGGCCAACUACGUGCCAGCAGCCGCGGUAAUACGUAGGGUCCCAGCGUUGUCUGGAAUUAUUGGGCGUAAAGGGCUGGUAGGCGGUCCGUCCAGUCGCCUGUGAAAUCUCAGGGCUCAACCCUGAGCUUGCAGUCGAUACUGGCGGACUUGAGGCAGGUAGGGGAGAGUGGAAUUCCCGGUGUAGCGGUGAAAUNNGCAGAUAUCGGGAGGAACACCAGUAGCGAAGGCGGCUCUCUGG
rnacentral:rRNA from 1 species